UGUCCUCUUCUGUAGUUGGAUGGAUCUCAUCUUCAAAGGGAGUCAAGAACUCACCAUAUGAAAUUGAGCCAAAGUUAGAAUCCAUUAAGGCUUCUUCCUUGUCCAUCCAUUCAAUGGUGAUAGCACAUGGAUUUUUAAUGCCCUCUAGCCAUUGAUGUUGCUCUUCUCGAUCCACCUUAUGGUCUUGGUGACUCUUAUGCAUGGGAUG
rnacentral:lncRNA from 1 species